rnacentral:rRNA from 1 species
UACGGGAGGCAGCAGUGGGGAAUAUUGCACAAUGGGCGCAAGCCUGAUGCAGCCAUGCCGCGUGUAUGAAGAAGGCCUUCGGGUUGUAAAGUACUUUCAGUCGUGAGGAAGGUGUUAAGGUUAAUAACCUUAGCAAUUGACGUUAGCGACAGAAGAAGCACCGGCUAACUCCGUGCCAGCAGCCGCGGUAAUACGGAGGGUGCGAGCGUUAAUCGGAAUUACUGGGCGUAAAGGGCACGCAGGCGGUUAAUUAAGUUGGAUGUGAAAUCCCCGGGCUUAACCUGGGAAUGGCAUUCAAGACUGGUUAGCUAGAGUCUUGUAGAGGGGGUAGAAUUCCAUGUGUAGCGGUGAAAUGCGUAGAGAUGUGGAGGGAUACCGGUGGCGAAGGCGGCCCCUGGGACAAAGGACUGACGCUCAUGUGCGAAAGCGUGGGGAGCGAAACAGGGAUUAGAUACC